rnacentral:rRNA from 1 species
CCUGGUUGAUUCUGCCAGUAGUCAUAUGCUUGUCUCAAAGAUUAAGCCAUGCAUGUCUAAGUAUAAGCAAUCAUACUGUGAAACUGCGAAUGGCUCAUUAAAUCAGUUAUCGUUUAUUUGAUAGUACCUUUACCUGGAUAACCGUGGUAAUUCUAGAGCUAAUACAUGCUAAAAACCCCGACUUCGGAAGGGGUGUAUUUAUUAGAUAAAAAACCAAUGCCCUCUGGGCUCUUUGGUGAUUCAUAAUAACUUAACGAAUCGCAUGGCCUUGCGCCGGCGAUGGUUCAUUCAAAUUUCUGCCCUAUCAACUUUCGAUUGUAAGAUAGAGGCUUACAAUGGUAUUAACGGGUAACGGGGAAUUAGGGUUCUACUCCGGAGAGGGAGCCUGAGAAACGGCUACCACAUCCAAGGAAGGCAGCAGGCGCGCAAAUUACCCAAUGCUAAUUCAGCGAGGUAGUGACAAUAAAUACUGAUACGGGGCUCUUUCGGGUCUCGUAAUUGGAAUGAGUACAAUCUAAAUCCCUUAACGAGGAACAAUUGGAGGGCAAGUCUGGUGCCAGCAGCCGCGGUAAUCCAGCUCCAAUAGCGUAUAUUAAAGUUGUUGCCGUUAAAAAGCUCGUAGUUGAACCUUGGACCUGGCUGAUCUGUCCUCCUAAUCGAGCGCACGGAUUCGGUCGGGUCUUUCCUUCUGGGGAGCCCUAUGCCCUUCACUGGGUGUAGUGGGGAACCAGGACUUUUACCUUGAAAAAAUUAGAGUGUUCAAAGCAGGCCUUUGCUCGAAUACAUUAGCAUGGAAUAAUAGAAUAGGACAUCGGUUCUAUUUUGUUGGUUUCUAGGACCGCUGUAAUGAUUAAUAGGGAUAGUCGGGGGCGUCAGUAUUCAAUUGUCAGAGGUGAAAUUCUUGGAUUUAUUGAAGACUAACUACUGCGUAAGCAUUCGCCAAGGAUGUUUUCAUUAAUCAGUGAACGAAAGUUAGGGGAUCGAAGACGAUCAGAUACCGUCGUAGACUUAACCAUAAACUAUGCCGACUAGGGAUCGGACGGUGGUUUUUUUAUGCCCCGUUCGGCACCUUACGAGAAAUCAAAGUUUUUGGGCUCGGGGGGGAGUAUGGUCGCAAGGCUGAAACUUAAAGAAAUUGACGGAAGGGCACCACCAGGCGUGGAGCCUGCGGCUUAAUUUGACCCAACACGGGGAAACACACCAGGUCCAGACAUGCUUAGGAUUGACAGA